rnacentral:lncRNA from 1 species
UCAAUGUAAAAUCAUAAAAAGUAGUGUUUUUGUUGAAACAAAAUUAGUAGAAAAAAAAAAAUAGUUUUUAAUCAAUAUUUGUUUCAUUAAAAGGAAAAAGAUCCAUAUUUAUUUGGUUCAGUAAAAAAAAUAAACCAUAAAAAUUUUAUGCAACUUGAGUUUUCGUUUUUCACCGAAAAAUAGCGAAAAAUGAAAAUUUUAAAUUUUUUACAAAUCUGUAAAAAUACUUUUACGGACGAAUAUUAUUACAUCGAAAAAAAAAAAAAAAAAAAAAAAAAAAAGAAAAGAAAAGAAAA